rnacentral:misc_RNA from 1 species
GAUGAAGAACGUAGCGAAAUGCGAUAAGUAAUGUGAAUUGCAGAAUUCAGUGAAUCAUCGAAUCUUUGAACGCACCUUGCGCUCUUUGGUAUUCCGAAGAGCAUGCCUGUUUGAGUGUCAUGAAAAUAUCAACCUUGACUUGGGUUUUGUGCUCUAGUCUCGGCUUGGAAUUGGGUGCUUGCCGCUUUUACGAGCGGCUCACCUUAAAUGUAUUAGCUGGAUCUGUCUUUGAGACUUGGUUUGACUUGGCGUAAUAAGUAUUUCGCUAAGGACAUUCUUCGGAGUGGCCUCGUUUCUAGGACGCUUGUCCGCUUUCCAAUACAAGUUCCACCUCGUGGACAUGACUUUUUAUUAUCUGGCCUCAAAUCAGGUAGGACUACCCGCUGAACUUAAGCAUAUCAAUAAGCGGAA